UACAGAGGAGCCAAGCGUUGUCCGGAUUGACUGGGCGUAAAGCGCGCGCAGGCGGUUUGGCGCGUGGGGUGUGAAAUCUGGCCGCUUAACGGCCAGGCGCAUCCCAUACGGCCGGACUGGAGCCUUGCAGAGGUCGGUGGAAUUGCCGGUGUAGUGGUGAAAUGCGCAGAUAUCGGGAGGAACACCUAUGGCGAAGGCAGCUCGCUGGGACGUUACUGACGCUGAGACGCGAAGGCGUGGGGAGCAAACAGG
rnacentral:rRNA from 1 species